rnacentral:rRNA from 1 species
UACAGAGGGGGCAAGCGUUGUUCGGAAUUACUGGGCGUAAAGGGCGCGUAGGCGGCCUUCUAAGUCGAACGUGAAAUCCCCGGGCUCAACCCGGGAACUGCGUCCGAUACUGGAAGGCUUGAAUCCGGGAGAGGGAUGUGGAAUUCCAGGUGUAGCGGUGAAAUGCGUAGAUAUCGGAAGGAACAUCAGUGGCGAAAGCGGCUUCCUGGACCAGCACCGACGUUCAGGCACGAAAGCGUGGGGAGCAAACAGG